rnacentral:tRNA from 1 species
GGGGAUAUAGCUCAGUGGUAGAGUACUUGCCUACCAUGUUUGAGGUCCUAGGUUCCAACCCUAGUCCUG